rnacentral:lncRNA from 1 species
CCUUCCACUAACAUUUUUUAGUGCUUACUUGGUAUUAAGAAUUAUACUAAGUUUCAGGGAUUAAAUGGAUAUAAAAAGAUUUCAAUAUUUAAUUCUAUCUGUAUGGAGACCAGAUUAAGUGACACAUGAACCUAGGUCUUGAAAAAUAUCUUUCUGUGGUUUGAGAACCUAAACUUUUGCUUUUACCAAAAGAGGAAAUUGAAACUCUUUAUAAUAAUUCCUAAGCAGUAUCAAUUUUAAAAGAGCUUAGCUGGCUAAUAGUAAAUCAGCACAAUGAGCUUUUGCCAUUUUUCACAAAAUGUUUUUUGAGCAUCUAUUAUUACUACUAGAAAGAGUUCACAUUUAUUGAACACUGACCAUGUGUCAGGCACUACUUUAUUUCAUGCUGUGCAAAAACUAUUUAUUUUGUGUGUCAAUAUUAAUUACCAUGUCAUUUGCAAUGUAUUCAAAGCUACCAGGAUAAAACAAAUUAGUAAGAUGUGGCCCUGACUUCUGUGAAAGUUAAAGACUAGUGACAGACAUAAAAACAACUAAUAAUAUCAACCAUAAUUAAAUAAAU